UUUUUGUUAAAAAAUUUACAACAGAAUCCCACAUAUGUUGUCAUUAUAGCUGGGAGGUUAUUGCUAAUAAUCUCUACUCUUUUUUAUGAAACUGUAAUGAUCUAUGUAUAAUUCUUAAA